AUUUUGUGAAUGAGAUAAAGAUUUAAUGAUUUUCAUGAGAUGAAAAUAGGUUUCUACCCCUCGUGGCAUCGUAUUUUAAAGAAAAAGAGUUUCCGUAUGGGAAACGGUUUUGAAAGGAUUUUUAUUGGUUUCAUGACUCUUAGUGUUCCAAAACAAGUUUCCGGGUAGAAAAUAUUUUAAACUAAUAGAUGUAGAAUUACUAUUAUCUGUGAUGAUAUAAAGAGGAAUCUGUGAUGUGGUAUAUGUGUGUGGAUGUUUGUACUGUUAUGGUUGUAUUUUGUACUUGUGCGACGCCGUGCAAAUACAGGAAAGACUCU
rnacentral:lncRNA from 1 species